rnacentral:rRNA from 1 species
ACUCUCGGCAACGGAUAUCUCGGCUCUCCCAUCGAUGAAGAACGUAGCAAAAUGCGAUACUUGGUGUGAAUUGCAGAAUCCCGUGAAUCAUCGAGUCUUUGAACGCAAGUUGCGCCCGAGGCCAUUAGGCUGAGGGCACGUCUGCCUGGGCGUCACGC